UACAGAGGGUGCGAGCGUUGUUCGGAAUUAUUGGGCGUAAAGCGCUUGUAGGCGGCACGUCAAGUCGCGUGUGAAAUCCCCAGGCUUAACCUGGGAAGUGCGCGCGAAAACUGACGAGCUUGAGUGCCGGAGAGGGUCGCGGAAUUCCCGGUGUAGAGGUGAAAUUCGUAGAUAUCGGGAGGAACACCAGUGGCGAAGGCGGCGACCUGGACGGACACUGACGCUGAGACGCGAAAAGCGUGGGGGAGCAAACAGGGAUUAAGAAAACCCCCUGU
rnacentral:rRNA from 1 species